rnacentral:rRNA from 1 species
UACGUAGGGAGCAAGCGUUGUUCGGAUUUACUGGGCGUAAAGGGCGCGUAGGCGGCAAAUUAAGUCAGCUGUGAAAAUCUCCGAGCUUAACUCGGAACGGUCAGCUGAUACUGAUCUGCUAGAGUGCGGAAGGGGCAAUCGGAAUUCUUGGUGUAGCGGUGAAAUGCGUAGAUAUCAAGAGGAACACCUGAGGUGAAGACGGUUGCUGGCCGACACUGACGCUGAGUGCGCGAAAGCCAGGGAGGCAAACGGG